AUGGCUGGACUGAAGCCCAUUGUUGAGUUCAUGACCUUCAACUUCGCGAUGCAGGCGAUCGACCAGAUCAUCAACUCCGCCGCGAAGACGCUCUACAUGUCCGGCGGCCAGAUGGGCUGCUCGAUCGUGUUCCGCGGUCCGAACGGCGCAGCGGCACGCGUUGCUGCUCAGCACAGCCAGGAUUACUCGGCGUGGUACUCGCAGAUUCCCGGCCUCAAGGUUGUCUCGCCAUACUCCGCGGCGGACGCGAA
rnacentral:misc_RNA from 1 species